UGGGGAAUAUUGCACAAUGGGCGCAAGCCUGAUGCAGCCAUGCCGCGUGUAUGAAGAAGGCCUUCGGGUUGUAAAGUACUUUCAGCGGGGAGGAAGGGAGUAAAGUUAAUACCUUUGCUCAUUGACGUUACCCGCAGAAGAAGCACCGGCUAACUUCGUGCCAGCAGCCGCGGUAAUACGGAGGGUGCAAGCGUUAAUCGGAAUUACUGGGCGUAAAGCGCACGCAGGCGGUUUGUUAAGUCAGAUGUGAAAUCCCCGGGCUCAACCUGGGAACUGCAUCUGAUACUGGCAAGCUUGAGUCUCGUAGAGGGGGGUAGAAUUCCAGGUGUAGCGGUGAAAUGCGUAGAGAUCUGGAGGAAUACCGGUGGCGAAGGCGGCCCCCUGGACGAAAACUGACGCUCAGGUGCGAAAGCGUGGGGAGCAAACAGG
rnacentral:rRNA from 1 species